GGGGCUGUGGCUCAGUGGUAGAGCACUUGCCUGGUGUGUGCAAGGCCCUGGGUUCAAUUCUCAGCACCA
rfam:Ictidomys tridecemlineatus contig024198, whole genome shotgun sequence.